rnacentral:rRNA from 1 species
GACGAACGCUGGCGGCGUGCUUAACACAUGCAAGUCGAACGGAAAGGCCCUGCUUUUGUUGGGUGCUCGAGUGGCGAACGGGUGAGUAACACGUGAGUAACCUGCCCUUGACUUUGGGAUAACUUCAGGAAACUGGGGCUAAUACCGGAUAGGAGCUCCUGCUGCAUGGUGGGGGUUGGAAAGUUUCGGCGGUUGGGGAUGGACUCGCGGCUUAUCAGCUUGUUGGUGGGGUAGUGGCUUACCAAGGCUUUGACGGGUAGCCGGCCUGAGAGGGUGACCGGCGACAUGGGGCAUAAGAUACGGCGCAGACGCCUACGGGAGGCAGCAGUGGGGAGUAUUGCACAGUGGGCGGAAGCCUGAGGCAGCGACGCCGGGUGCGGGAUGACGGCCUUCGGGUGGUAAACAGCUUUCGACUGUGACGAAGCGUGAGUGACGGUAAUGGGUAAAGAAGCACCGGCUAACUACGUG